UUUGAUCCUGGCUCAGAACGAACGCUGGCGGCGUGGAUAAGACAUGCAAGUCGAACGAUUAUCAUCGGGUAGCAAUAUUCGGUGGUGAGAGUGGCGCAAGGGUGCGUAACACGUGGGUAAUUUGCCGUGAAGUCUGGGAUAACUUGCUGAAAGGCGAGCUAAUACCGGAUGUGACUUUUGGAAGGCAUCUUCUGGAAUUCAAAGUCGGGGACCGUAAGGCCUGACGCUUCUCGAUAAGCCCGCGGCCUAUCAGCUAGCUGGUGAGGUAACGGCUCACCAAGGCUAAGACGGGUAGCUGGUCUGAGAGGACGACCAGCCACACUGGAACUGAGACACGGUCCAGACACCUACGGGUGGCAGCAGUCGAGAAUUUUUCUCAAUGGGCGAAAGCCUGAAGGAGCGACGCCGCGUGGGGGAUGAAUGGCUUCGGCCCGUAAACCCCUGUCAUUUGCGAUCAAACCUUACGACC
rnacentral:rRNA from 1 species